AACGAACGCUGGCGGCAUGCCUAACACAUGCAAGUCGAACGAGACCUUCGGGCCUAGUGGCGCACGGGUGCGUAACGCGUGGGAACCUGCCCUUAGGUUCGGAAUAACUCCCCGAAAGGGGUGCUAAUACCGGAUAAUGUCUUCGGACCAAAGAUUUAUCGCCUUUGGAUGGGCCCGCGUUGGAUUAGCUAGUUGGUAGGGUAAAAGCUUACCAAGGCGACGAUCCAUAGCUGGUUUGAGAGGAUGAUCAGCCACACUGGGAGUGGGACACGGCCCAGACUCCUACGGGAGGCAGCAGUGGGGAAUAUUGGACAGUGGGCGAAAGCCUGAUCCAGCAAGGCCGCGUGAGUGAUGAAGGCCUUAGGGUUGUAAAGCUCUUUUACCCGGGAUGAUAAUGACAGUACCGGGAGAAUAAGCUCCGGCUAACUCCGUG
rnacentral:rRNA from 1 species